rnacentral:snoRNA from 1 species
CUGCAGCCAGUUAAACUGACUAUCCUCUCCAGUAGGGGUCUGGCAUGCAGUGGCUACAGACAGCAGCUUCCUUGGUAGUAUAUGCAGCUAGUUGCUUGUAUGGGUUGUCUUAUGGGACCUUGGAACCAGUC